CAGCCUCCCAAAGUGCUGGGAUUACAGGCCUGAGCCACCGCGCCCGGCCGUUCCUUGUUGUUUUUAAAAAAUUACAGCUGAUCUGAUGGAUAAAAAGAGGAAAUCAAUGAGGCUGGAGAGAAAAGGGCGAAUGGCUGAGGGGACGCCUGUGAGUUGACGAGAAGGACCAGGAGCUGGUAAACCAAAGAGGUGGCUCAGGCAGCCAGUGUCCCAUGGAAAGGGGUCAACUUGGAAGUGGCUCCUUCAGCCCCCAGGGAGCCUUCAGAUGAGGCAGCCCCGGCGACAGCUUGACUGCAGCCUCGUGAGACACUCAAAGCCAGAAACAUCCAGAUAUCCUGCUCCCCGACUCCCGACCCACAGGAAAGGGACCAAGUGCUGUAGGGUGCCUUCCAGCAUCCUUGGCCUCCUCCCAACUACCUGACUGGAUGUCCCCUGCUCACGCCACCCCCAACCCGUGACAGCCAAAACUGACGCCUGGGGCGGGACCCAGCGCCUAGUGGAGAAAUGGCGCUCAGCCGACGGUCGGAAACAGCAGUGGGGAAAUGGCGCUCAGCGGACGGUCAUUUCCCACCGUCUUGCCUCCUGCCUUCUGGUUUUGGUCUCUCUGGCUGCAGACCAGCAGCUGUGCACCUGUGGUUCUACUGCCGUGCCCACUUUCCGGAGAGGUGAUGAGACAUCGUGAGAGCCUGAAGCACAGGACAGAGGAGCAGAAUUCAGUGUCACACGUGCCUCUGCUGCCCGGGAGGAGGAGAGACCACGGGUCGGGGUAGGAUGUGGAUGAGAGGCGGAGGAGAGAAAAGAACACGCGUGUCCACACAAACACGUGCACACCCACAUCCGGAGCAGCACGACUCACAACAGCCAAAAAGCAGAGGCAACCCAAGCAUCCAGCCACGAGAUGAGGUCCCGCUCUGUCGCCCAGGCUGGAGUGCAAUGGCGAGAUCUUGGCUCAC